UGUUUAAUCGCAUUCUUCUCGCUCUAACUUUUGGCGUCUUCUGCUACAUGUAUUUCCGGAAGUGACGUCACCACGAAUAUAAUCUCGUUCCAAAUCAGUUGCAGAAAUAACAGACUCAACAAUUGGACGGGAUGACCGACACUUUCGGAAACAGACUUCGCAUAAGCUGCCCUUGAAACAGAUGAUCCCUGCUCUCCCUGCCAGAGGAUGAGACGAUUACCCUGAAAACCAUUGGUCCUGACAUGGAGAUGUCGAACUCAGUCGUGGCCGUCAUUUCUUGUGCCGUCUUCAUCUCCUGGCAGUUGAUGCAGUUCUUCGAAGGGUCAUUAAACAUGGGAUUUUCAAUGAGGCAUUCCCAGUCGUAGUACUCUUGAAGAAGAAAAGGUCCAAGUGAAGACAUUAGUACAGUACGUCUUUCAUGCAUAGCUGCAAUAUUGCUUAGUGCGGUGUUGAACAAUAAACAAACAAAAACA